UGGGGAAUUUUGGACAAUGGGCGCAAGCCUGAUCCAGCCAUGCCGCGUGCGGGAAGAAGGCCUUCGGGUUGUAAACCGCUUUUGUCAGGGAAGAAAUCCUCUGAGUUAAUACCUCGGGAGGAUGACGGUACCUGAAGAAUAAGCACCGGCUAACUACGUGCCAGCAGCCGCGGUAAUACGUAGGGUGCAAGCGUUAAUCGGAAUUACUGGGCGUAAAGCGUGCGCAGGCGGUUUUGUAAGACAGAGGUGAAAUCCCCGGGCUCAACCUGGGAACUGCCUUUGUGACUGCAAGGCUUGAGUGCGGCAGAGGGGGAUGGAAUUCCGCGUGUAGCAGUGAAAUGCGUAGAUAUGCGGAGGAACACCGAUGGCGAAGGCAAUCCCCUGGGCCUGCACUGACGCUCAUGCACGAAAGCGUGGGGAGCAAACAGGAUUAGAUACCCCUGGUAGUCCACGCCCUAAACGAUGUCAACUGGUUGUUGGGAAGGUUCCUUCUCAGUAACGUAGCUAACGCGUGAAGUUGACCGCCUGGGGAGUACGGCCGCAAGGUUG
rnacentral:rRNA from 1 species